rnacentral:piRNA from 1 species
CUUGCUUGUAGAAGACUGGGACCAUCAUC